GAUGAACGCUAGCGGCAGGCUUAACACAUGCAAGUCGAGGGGUAGAGGAAGCUUGCUUCCUUGAGACCGGCGCACGGGUGCGUAACGCGUAUGCAACCUACCUUUUACAGAGGGAUAGCCCAGAGAAAUUUGGAUAAAUACCUCAUAGUAUAUAGUCUUCGCAUGUUGACUUUAUUAAAGUUCCAACGUUAAAAGAUGGGCAUGCGUCCUAUUAGCUAAAUGGCAAGGUAACGGCUUACCAUGGCAACGAUAGGUAGGGGUCCUGAGAGGGAGAUCCCCCACACUGGUACUGAGACACGGACCAGACUCCUACGGGAGGCAGCAGUGAGGAAUAUUGGACAAUGGGCGCAAGCCUGAUCCAGCCAUGCCGCGUGCAGGAAGAAGCAUCUAUGGUGUGUAAACUGCUUUUGUACAGGAAGAAACACCCCGACGUGUCGGGACUUGACGGUACUGUAAAAAUAAGGAUCGGCUAACUCCGUGCCAGCAGCCGCCGUAAUAC
rnacentral:rRNA from 1 species